ACCUGGCUGAAGUCGGAUGCUUAGCCGACUGCGCCACCCAGGCGCCCCUUAAAUUGUUUUUUAAAGAAAAUUUUUUGAGGGAGUGGGAACCAUAUUUUCAGUGAAGUAUUAAAAGAGUGGCCAACUUACUCCUUUAGUAUUAACCAAAAGUAUAGAGUAUGUGCAGUUUAUAAGAUGGAAAGAAAAGGCCCAUUGUAUUAGUUAAAAUGAAGUUAAAAUGAAGACCUCAAUGAUUUUAAACUUUUGUGUACUCUUUGUUAUAAUUGUAGAAUUUGAAUUUAUAAUAUAAUAGAGUAAACUUUAAGAUAUCUGUGAAAUGGCUUAUUCCUUGAUAAGAUUCUAUAUAUAUUUUUUGAGAUACAUAUUUUUUUUUGCAUUUAACACAAGAUUUUAAAAGAAAACUAAUAGUAAAGUAAAUGAAACUGACUUAUAGUCUUCUACCUGAGGAGGAAAACUUGGAAAGAACAAAAUUUUUAGAAAUGCAAAGGUUGGAGAUAUGUAAUAUAAAGAGUUUUAUAAGUCAGGAAGAAAGAAAGUUUAAGCCAUGGCUUGACAGUUCACAAAAGAAAAAAAUAAAACUGUCAAUACAUCAUGUGUUUUCCAAAGAUGACCACAACAAUAUCUCCCAGCUGACUGCUCUUCUGCAAUGUGAUAUUGUCACAGUGUCAUCAGAAGGUGGUAUUUCUCCACUUCCUUAAUUUUGGGUAGGCCCUUUGACUGCUUAGACCAAGAGAAUGUGGUAGAAUGGAUAUGCCAGUUCCAGGUGUUGGUCUUACAUGGCCUGACAAUUUCUUCCUGCUUUUUGGAAGCCAGCCACUAUGUGACAGAUGCAAUUACCCUGAAAUCACUAUGUUGUGAGAAAGCCAAAGUCAUUUAAUAAGGCCCUGGAGGAUACAACAUCUAUUGGAGAGGCCAAGGAGCAUCAGGGGACCAGACCUGUAAGUGAAGAAGCCAUUUUGGAAAUGGAUCCUCCAGCUCCACCUGCCAUGUCUGUUGCUGUGUCAAUCGGAUGAACCGUCCAGUAGAGCACUUCCCAAUUUUUGACCCAUAAAAUCAUGAGCAAAUAAAAUGGUUUGUUUUAAGCUUC